CAUGAAUUUAUUUAUUUAUAAAAAUAUACAACGCUCAACGCUGAUACAUUGAUUUAAGAUGACUUGAUACCAUGAAAAUUAGACGAAAAAUCAUUCUACUACAACAUCACCGAUUUUUGUACCUUCAAUCUCUAUUAAUAUAUAUUCAAAAGAAAUAAAAAGUGUAUUGAUUUUUUUGGUUGAAAUGUCAACUUGCACGAAUAGAUUUGAUUGAAUCCAGGUUUAUUCAUUUGUGUUAUUUAUCUCGUCUAACGUUUCGUUUUCCUCUACAGAAAUCAUUUUCAAAGAUCAAUAAACACUUUCUCACAACUAAAUAGUAAAAGGUGACAGCACAGGCAAUGCCCCAAUGGACCAUUUGCAUUAUACACUAAAUUUGUCUAAACAAGUCUAGACAAAAAUUUAGCUCUAGACAAAAGAGCAUCACAAAAAUUCUAGACAAAAGAGCAUCACAAAAUUAGUAAUAUUCCAAAGUUUCGUUGCGAAAUGUUGUAAAAUGCGGAUAA